UAGAAUUCAAAUCCAAACCCAAGCUAAUACUAUAUCAAUUAUUUUAUUUUCUGCAUGAACUUUUUAAUGAAGAUUGCAUUCAGCAGAGGCAGAAAUUUUCCUGUAUUAUAAUACUUCUGCAAUAAUUCUUUGAAUUCGCCGAAUAAAAACAUAAAGUAUAUAAGCGAAGUAUGUCAUGCGAAAUAUAUAAAACGAAAAACAUAAAUUUUUUAUUUUAUUUUUGUUUUAACAUCCGAGUGCUCAACGAGAGCGAGCUAAAAUACAUUUGGCUUAACGAAACAAAAUUCAAAAUUUCAAUUAACUUUGUAUAUUUUUGAGAAUGUCGUUCCUUCUGCGACGCAACUACCCCCACAUGGUACGCAAUGUAACAAAAUCCAUUGUGGGACAUCGCAUGUACGGCAAUCUCCCCAAGCAACAAGAGAAUUCGAUUUAUACGGAUUCGGUACGCAGAGCACACGACUAUUCCUUCGACUAUAUGAGGGAUCGCAAAACUUCCGAGAAGCGCAGUUCAAAGAAAAACCCACACCCAUUUAUGAGGCAUUCGCUGAAUGAUGAAUUCAGAUCGCAAAAUGCAAAAUAUCGUUGGUCAGAAUUUAGAAGAAGGAUGAUCUAUGGCAACUUCGCUAUAUAGCCUUAAAAUAGCGUCUCAAAAUAUCUAUAAGUUGAUUCAUUGUAACUGCAUAUUCCGAACAGAUGUGGUAUUGUCCAAUACGCAUUUUGAUAUUAUCGAAGUGAGUCUUGGACAAAAUCACAUAAAAUCAAAUUCAAAUGAAGCAAGAAAAAAGCAGGGGAGCCCAUGUUCUGAGUGCAGUUUCACAUGGAAGGUCAUAUGCAACGUUUAAAAAUGUUUUCCAAAUUAGUUCUUUUAAAUAGAAACGAUCAAAUCCCUGUGUUUAUAGUGACUAAAUCGUUUUCUAUUUUUCUAUGGAAAAUAAUUUUAAAGGUAUCUAAACACUUUGAUAGUAAAAAUACAUACAGAGACUCGGACCAUAUAAAGUCAUAAGACAUAUAAUACGUAACGGUAGCCUGGAGCCUGGGUAAAAAUUGCUAUCUCAAAUAUAAAGUCCGUUUAGUGGAGCUGACCAUACGCGGAUAAUGCUGCAAUAUUUGCCGGCGAGCAGGGUCUGCCAGUGAUGGUUGGGCGAGAAGCACAGGACAUUGGUGCUCCAGGAUACACACGUUCCUACCGUCAUGCAGAUUCCACAUCCGAGGAGUCUUGCCAUUAGAGGUUUUGAUCCAGCCAUCAGACGAGACGGGUACAGUGUUUGUUCACAUAGGCAUAGUGGCCAUGGUGAUUGCUCUUCAACUUGCAGUAAGCCAAGUUCCAGACUUUGGCGGUGCGAUACCCUAGGCAAGCACGACACC